GUUUCACUGAACACUAAGUUUCGCUGCUCACGAGACCCACGGUGACAGGUGGAAGACAUAACAAGCAAAUCAGAAAUAAUAUGGAAUCAAGGGCCUAAUGAGAAGGAAGAACAUAACUAAACUUAUCAAAGAAACACACUGGAGGACUAAAAAAGAAGGUCUUGUGGUUUUAUUACAGGGGAUUGGGAGACGAGCUCAUUAAAGUGAUGGGUAAGGUGCUGAGAGGCUAUUUCUACAGGUUGGAGAAUAUGGAACAAGUGGGUGACCAUUUAUGACUGAGGUGAGUUGUGGCUUUCUGGAAUUCUCUGUCC